UUUGCCCAUGCCUUAGUUCCAGACCCCCUGACAAGCAGCUAGUAUGCAAAAGAAACACAAAAAGAAAUCAAAUAAAUCAAGGACUCCAUCAAAAGAGAACAAAUAUAAUCGAGGGCACCAAUAGAAAACCUCGGCCAAACUAGACUGGUUUCUAGUCAAUUUCUUCGCUGGCUUUCACCAAGUUUCAUAGACUUUUAGUCUUCUCUGAGUUUGCAUUCGACC
rnacentral:lncRNA from 1 species